AAGCUGAUCCUCCCGCUGUGGGCCGGAAAGGAUUCUCUGGUUGGGGUGGAGUCAUCCAGCUCUGGCUGAGAGCUGAAGGUAGUGGGAGGGGCCUCCUGGGAGACUGGACCUGUGUGCUGUGCAAGUGGCCGGUGUUGGGAUUUCUUCACGAUUGAAUGCCUGUUCACAAGUGUUUGGGGUGAUUUAUUUUGGAUUUAUUCAUUUACUUUAGGAACCAGUUCCCAUUUGGACCGCCCUCCCCCUGCUGGUAGGCCUCAGUACUGUGCACUUCCCUUCCUAUUGUGGUUCCUUAUGUUUUGAUUGUCUCUUUUUAAAAACAAACAUGAAACAAUAAAAUGUAAUUAACUUUUGGAAAAGUCUUGUUCUCUUUGGUUACAAACCUACUGUCAAUCUAUUUCCUUGGGUGCAAUUCCCAAGGUGGCGUUGUUGACGACUUCUGGUUACCCUGCUGUGAGGGGCAGAGUAUCGGAUUUAUACCCUAGUGUCGCCACAUUAUGUAAUAAAAUAAAAAAAAUUACUCUGCUAGAUUUUUUUUCACUCUUUUUCUAUGCUGUCCAUAGCAGAGUUGACAUAUCAUACUGUAUUUUUUUUUUUUCUGGAAAAAAAGUAAGAAAAAUAUGUAGCUAAUGUUUGAUAUGUAGCUAAUGUUUUACAAUACAAACUGGAUUCAUCAAAGUUUCUUUACCAAAAAAAUCAAAAAGAUAAAAAGAAAUUACAUGUUUUUCUUCCUAUCUUGAAAUGUUAAAUGUACAUUAAAUUAUGGAAUCAUGUAAAUAUAUUAGGGAUGCUCCGAUCAGGUCUUCUGCUGCCGAUUACGAUACCGAUCACCAAUGAGGUUGAUCUCUGUUGAUCAGCUGGAUUGACUGUUAAGUUUUUCCUUUAGGUAUAAAUGCUACUAUAUGAUCUGACAAAAU